rnacentral:rRNA from 1 species
UACGGGGGGAGCAAGCGUUGUUCGGAUUUACUGGGCGUAAAGGGCGCGUAGGCGGCCACCGCAAGUCGACUGUGAAAUCUCAGGGCUUAACCCGGAAAGGUCAGCCGAUACUGCGGGGCUAGAGUGCAGAAGGGGCAACUGGAAUUCUCGGUGUAGCGGUGAAAUGCGUAGAUAUCGAGAGGAACACCUGCGGCGAAGGCGGGUUGCUGGGCUGACACUGACGCUGAGGCGCGAAAGCUAGGGGAGCGAACGGG